rnacentral:misc_RNA from 1 species
GAAAUGCGAUAAGUAAUGUGAAUUGCAGAAUUCAGUGAAUCAUCGAAUCUUUGAACGCACAUUGCGCCCGCCAGUAUUCUGGCGGGCAUGCCUGUUCGAGCGUCAUUUCAACCCUCAAGCCCCAGUGGCCUGGUGUUGGGGACCGGCGACCUCGCCCGGGGGAACACCCCCGGCGCGUCCGCCGCCCCCGAAAUGAAUUGGCGGCCCCGUCGCGGCCUCCUCUGCGUAGUAGCACAACCUCGCAGCGGGAGCGCGACGCGGCCACUGCCGUAAAACGCCCAACUUUUUUUAGAGUUGACCUCGGAUCAGGUAGGAAUACCCGCUGAACUUAA